rnacentral:rRNA from 1 species
GACAGAGGGGGCUAGCGUUGUUCGGAAUUACUAGGGCGUAAAGCGCACGUAGGCGGAUACUUAAGUCAGGGGUGAAAUCCCGGGGCUCAACCCCGGAACUGCCUUUGAUACUGGGUAUCUCGAGUCCGGAAGAGGUGAGUGGAAUUCCGAGUGUAGAGGUGAAAUUCGUAGAUAUUCGGAGGAACACCAGUGGCGAAGGCGGCUCACUGGUCCGGUACUGACGCUGAGGUGCGAAAGCGUGGGGAGCAAACAGG